rnacentral:rRNA from 1 species
UACAGAGGUGUCAAACGUUGUCCGGAAUUAUUGGGCGUAAAGGGCGCGUAGGCGGCCGGGUAAGUGAGAUGUGAAAGCUCUGGGCUCAACCCAGGAAUUGCAUUUCAUACUGCUCGGCUAGAGAUUGGUAGAGGAUGGCGGAAUUCCAGGUGUAGCGGUGAAAUGCGUAGAUAUCUGGAGGAACACCGGUGGCGAAGGCGGCAUCCUGGACCGGCAUUGACGCUGAGGCGCGAAAGCCAGGGGAGCAAACGGG